CUCCUUCAGACAACAACAGAACAAACCCACUUUGUUAUUUGCCUCUUAUUGGUCCUUAAAGAUUUUGCUCCACAACCAUACGCUGCCUGUCCUGAUGGCUCCCUUGUCUUUGCAAUCAAAGGUAAGUGCUUCCAUAAUACAUACUUCACUUUCCUUCUAGUUUUUUUGGUUACAGAAAACGGUUUCUAUUUUAUCUUUCGAAACUUAGAAACUUUUGUGGAUAGUGAACCUUGUGAAGUGAAAAUGUAAGAAGUAUGUAUUUAUUUUAGCAUUUUGGGCGUAAUUAAUCCUGGCUACUUAUACAUGGAAUUUUGUCUAAUUACUUAUCAGGUUAGCAUUGCUUGUUUAUCCAACAUUAUGUCCAAAAUGAUUAGAUGUGUUCUGGAAACUUAUGAUCAAACUAUGGAUGGGUGUUGGAAAUGAAGGACAUGUGGAUUUAUUUCCAAUUUCUAACUUAUGGUUUCCGUCCAUUUGGAUACCCAACAUCUGUGCAUUGUAAGAUGAACUCGUUAGAAUUUUUAGAUAUCCCAGCUCUCUUUCAGUAAAUUGGUUAGGCAAUUUUCCCUGGUAUCCCAAUAAAAGGAAGGAAGAGAAGAGGCAAAGUGGUGUUUUCCCCAUUGAGGGGAACAUAUACAAUACCACAUAUAUUUUCAUCUAUUAGUCUGUUUAAUAAGUUUAAAAGAUUUAGAUAGCUAGGAUACAAGCCAUCAUCAGAAUAACAUUGAGAAGUGGGGAACUUCCUAUUUUGAACUUUAAGAUCAUGUUUCAGUCAAUACGUUAAGGUAAAAUGGUGUAAACUGUAAAGUCUUAAUUAGCAAGAUGCAUCAGGUCAUAUAAAGAUGUCUGAAAUUUUUUGGUUAUUUAUACACCCAUAUGUAGGAACUUACUAGAUGAGAAAAAAAGACUUUAAGUUUUUGAAGUUGGAUUACAAGGAAUGAGCACAUUUCUCAUAUUCCAUUCCUAUUUAACAUGGUGCAAGUGUAUCUUUUGUCUUUGGUGGUUUACAGUUUGUCUUCAAGUGCAUUCUGAGAUUGUGGAAAAUUUGUGAAGGACUGCCAGCAGGGAUAGGUCAAGGGGUUGGGGAUCCCGCUGCCCUUUAGCUUGUAAAAUGUAUUUCUUGUCAUUUUCCAAUGACUUACAGGAGUUUAUUGUUGGUUGUUUUACAGUUUUGGGUGUUUGAAUUUUGUAGUUGCAAGGGUGGAGUUAAGUCAGCUUCACCUGUUACACUCAAUAAUCA
rnacentral:lncRNA from 1 species